AAACUCUUUUUUUUUAAUGCAUUUAAUCAUUUCUUACCUAAUACUUACUUCAAAAAACAAAACCCUAAAAGGGAUUGAUUCGCCGCCAGAUUUUUUAUUCUCCUGUCUCCCAUUUAACCUUCAUCACCUCUCUUAUUAGCAACAGUUUUCUUUACCUGCUGAUCUAUGUUGAAAAAAAUGAACUUUCUUGGAGUUUAAUUAGUCAAAGAUGGGAUUUUUAUCAACACCAAAGCUUCAAUUUUCAGGUUAUACAUGUAGGUUUUUAUAGUUUUAAGGUUUAUAUGAUAAAGUUUUGGCUCUUUUACCUUUCUUUGGUUGCUAGGUUUUGUGGGUAGUGAUUAUAUUUGUGUAGAAUCGAGUAUAUAAUUGGUGUUUGAUCAUGGAGUUUUCUUGAUACUAUUUUAUUUGAUCAAAGAUUGGGUUUUUAUUAGCUUAAAGGUUUGAUUUUGAGGUUGUGUACGUGGGGUUUUGUAGGUUUUAAGGUUUUUAUAUAUGACAAAGUUAUGAUUUUUGAUUAGCUUUCUUGGGUUGUUAAGGCUUGUGGGUAUUGAUUAUAUUUGUUGUGGAAUGAGUGAGUGAAGAUGGUAUCUGAAUUGGGUAGGAGACCGAUGAUCGGGAACAAUGAAAAUUCAUUUGGAGAUGAGUUUGAGAAAGAGAUUGGGAUGUUACUUCAUGAUCAGCGAAGACAAGAAGCUGACGAUCGCGAAAAGGAGCUGAAUAUGUAUAGAAGUGGCUCAGCUCCACCUACUGUUGAGGGUUUUGGUUGGGAACAAUGAAAAUUCAUUUGGAGACGAGUUUGACAAAGAGAUUGGGAUGUUACUUCAUGAUCAGUGAAGACAAGAAGCUGACGAUCGCGAAAAGGAGCUGAAUAUGUAUAGAAGUGGCUCAGCUCCACCUACUGUUGAGGGUUCAUUGAGUGCAGUGGGUGGAUUGCUUAACAAUAAUGGUUUCAUGUCUGAGGAGGAGCUUAGGUCUGAUCCCGCUUACUUAUCUUACUAUUACUCGAACGUAAACCUUAAUCCUAGGUUGCCUCC
rnacentral:lncRNA from 1 species